GGAAUGGUUUUAAACUGAGACAGGGGAGGUUUAGGUUGGAUAUGAGGAGGAAGUUUUUCACCCAGAGGGUGGUGACGCACUGAACAGGUUGCCCAAGGAGGCUGUGGAUGCCCCAUCCCUGCAGGCACUCAAGGCCAGGCUGGAUGUGGCUCUGGGCAGCCUGGGCUGCUGGUUGGUGACCCUGCACAUAGCAGGGGGUUGGAACUGGAUGAGCAUUGUGGUCCUUUUCAACCCAGGACAUUCUCUGACUCUAUGAU
ensembl:lncRNA